ACAGAAGAGGGAACUGUUUGUCCAAUCAGGGAGCAAAGUCACAUUUGACCUCGAAUUUCAGCCCUUAGGAUCCUCAGGGAAUAAACACUCAUGCACUUAGUGCUAGUCAAAGACUGCAUGAUUAUUUAACUAAAAAAAUUCACAUUCCAAGAAGUUAACUGUCAGUAAGAUAGGUUUUGGUCUUUCUCAUCACAGCUUUCCCUUCACAGGCCACUAGUGCCAGUUCGAAUUCCCGUCCCCAGCGGCAACCCUUCCGGGUCCAGGCACAGUGCCGCAGAAUGGAAUUCGGCAUUGUUCCUACACAGCUUCUCGGAAACAUCUCUAUGUUGAUAAAAAUACAAAGAUUAUUUGCCAGGGUUUCACUGGCAAACAGGGCACCUUUCACAGCCAGCAGGCAUUGGAAUAUGGCACCAAACUCGUUGGAGGAACCACUCCAGGGAAAGGAGGCCAGACACAUCUGGGCUUACCUGUCUUUAAUACUGUGAAGGAGGCCAAAGAACAGACAGGAGCAACGGCUUCUGUCAUUUAUGUUCCUCCGCCUUUUGCUGCUGCUGCCAUUAAUGAAGCUAUUGAGGCAGAAAUUCCUUUGGUUGUGUGUAUCACUGAAGGAAUUCCUCAGCAGGACAUGGUACGAGUCAAGCACAAACUGCUGCGCCAGGAAAAGACAAGGCUAAUUGGGCCCAACUGCCCUGGAGUCAUCAAUGUGAGUGCAAAAAA
rnacentral:sRNA from 1 species